UACGUAGGGUCCAAGCGUUAUCCGGAAUCACUGGGCGUAAAGCGUGCGUAGGUGGAUUGUUAAGUGCGAUGCGAAAUCCUGUGGCUCAACCAUAUGGACUGUAUCGCAUACUGGCAAUCUAGAGGAUAUGAGAGGCAAGUGGAAUUACCGGUGUAGCAGUGAAAUGCGUAGAUAUCGGUAGGAACACCAAUGGCGAAGGCAGCUUGCUGGCAUAUUUCUGACGCUAAGGCACGAAAGCGUGGGGAGCGAACAGG
rnacentral:rRNA from 1 species